CCCUUAGAUGUUCUGGGCCGCACGCGUGCUACACUGAGUAAUUCAAUGGGUAAGGGAACGCUAGAGCAUUACCUAAUCUUGAAAUUUGCUCGUGAUGGGGAUCGACGGUUGCAAUUUUCCGUCGUGAACGAGGAAUACCUUGUAGGCGCAUGUCAUCAUCAUGCGCCGAAUACGUCCCUGCCCUUUGUACACACCGCCCGUCGCUCCUACCGAUUGAGUGAUCCGGUGAGGCUCUGGGACCUAGACGGAAAGAGCGUUUCGCUUGUUCUGUUUGGGAAACUUGGUCGAACCUUAUCAUUUAGAGGAAGGAGAAGUCGUAACA
rnacentral:rRNA from 1 species